GAGUAACACGUUGGAACCUGCCCCAAAGUGAGGAAUAAGCCACCGAAAGGUGGUCUAAUACUUCAUAAUAUCCAUCUCGUAUGGAUUAAAGCUUUAUGCGCUUUGGGAGGGGCCUGCGUAACAUUAGCUUGUUGGUGAGGUAAAAGCUCACCAAGGCUUCGAUGUUUAACUGGUUUGAGAGGAUGACCAGUCACACUGGGACUGAGAUACGGCCCAGACUCCUACGGGAGGCAGCAGUAAGGAAUCUUCCACAAUGGGGCAACCCUGAUGGAGCAAUACCGCGUGCAGGAUGAAGCGUUUCGGCGUGUAAACUGCUUUUAUCACCGAAGAUUAUGACUGUAGGUGAAGAAUAAGGACCGGCUAACUACGUG
rnacentral:rRNA from 1 species